rnacentral:rRNA from 1 species
GACGAACGCUGGCGGCGUGCCUAAUACAUGCAAGUAGAACGCACAGUUUAUACCGUAGCUUGCUACACCAUAAACUGUGAGUUGCGAACGGGUGAGUAACGCGUAGGUAACCUGCCUGGUAGCGGGGGAUAACUAUUGGAAACGAUAGCUAAUACCGCAUAAUAUUGAUUAUUGCAUGAUAAUUGAUUGAAAGAUGCUAUUGCAUCACUACCAGAUGGACCUGCGUUGUAUUAGCUAGUAGGUGAGGUAACGGCUCACCUAGGCGACGAUACAUAGCCGACCUGAGAGGGUGAUCGGUCACACUGGGACUGAGACACGGCCCCGCAUCCUACGGGAGGCAGCAGUAGGGAAUCUUCGGCAAUGGACGAAAGUCUGAACGAGCAACGCCGCGUGAGUGAAGAAGGUUAUCGGAUCGUAAAGCUCUGUUGUAAGCGAAGAACGGGUGUGAGAGUGGAAAGUUCACACUGUGACGGUAUCUUAACAGAAAGGGACGGCUAAAUACGUG